rnacentral:rRNA from 2 species
UGCAAGUCGAGCGGACAGAAGGGAGCUUGCUCCCGGACGUUAGCGGCGGACGGGUGAGUAACCCACUUGGUAGGUAAACCCCCCUGCCCCUUUUGGGAGACUGGGAUAAUCUCCCGGGAAACCCCGGGGAGUCUAAUACGGGGGUAUAUAUAAAGAGAAAUUCCCACCGUGUAUUCUCUUUUGAAAAAGACGGGGUUUUGGCGGCUGUCCACUAAAGGGAAUGGGCCCUGGGGGGGCCCAUUAGGCUUAGUUUGGUAAGGUAAACGGCUUACCCAAGGGGGACGAUGCGUUAGCCGACCUUGAGAAGGGGUGAUUCGGCCCACCACUGGGAACUGAGACCACGGGCCCCAGACUCCUUACGGGAGGGCAGCAGUAGGGGAAUUCUUCCGCCAAUGGACGGAAAAGUCUGACGGAAGCAACCGCCGGCGUGAGUGAAGGAAGGCCUUUCGGGUCGUAAAGCUCUGUUGUGAGGGAAGAACCAAGUACCGGGGGUAACUACCCGGUACCUUGACGGUACCUCACCCAGAAAGCCACGGCUAACUACGUGCCAGCAGCCGCGGUAAUACGUAGGUGGCAAGCGUUGUCCGGAAUUAUUGGGCGUAAAGCGCGCGCAGGCGGCUUCUUAAGUCUGAUGUGAAAUCUCGGGGCUCAACCCCGAGCGGCCAUUGGAAACUGGGAAGCUUGAGUGCAGAAGAGGAGAGUGGAAUUCCACGUGUAGCGGUGAAAUGCGUAGAUAUGUGGAGGAACACCAGUGGCGAAGGCGACUCUCUGGUCUGUAACUGACGCUGAGGCGCGAAAGCGUGGGGAGCAAACAGGAUUAGAUACCCUGGUAGUCCACGCCGUAAACGAUGAGUGCUAGGUGUUAGGGGUUUCGAUGCCCGUAGUGCCGAAGUAAACACAUUAAGCACUCCGCCUGGGGAGUACGGCCGCAAGGCUGAAACUCAAAGGAAUUGACGGGGACCCGCACAAGCAGUGGAGCAUGUGGUUUAAUUCGAAGCAACGCGAAGAACCUUACCAGGUCUUGACAUCCUUUGACCACUCUGGAGACAGAGCUUCCCCUUCGGGGGCAAAGUGACAGGUGGUGCAUGGUUGUCGUCAGCUCGUGUCGUGAGAUGUUGGGUUUAAGUCCCGCAACCGAGCGCAACCCUUGAUCUUAAGUUGCCAGCAUUUAAGUUGGGCACUUCUAAGGUGACUGCCCGGUGACAAACCGGAAGGAAGGUGGGGAACGACGUCAAAUCAUCAUGGCCCCUUUAUGACCUGGGCCUACACACGUGCUACAAUGGAUGGUACAAAGGGCAGCGAAACCGCGAGGUGGAGCCAAUCCCAUAAAGCCAUUCUCAGUUCGGAUUGUAGGCUGCAACUCGCCUACAUGAAGCCGGAAUUGCUAGUAAUCGCGGAUCAGCAUGCCGCGGUGAAUACGUUCCCGGGUCUUGUACACACCGCCCGUCACACCACGAGAGUUUGUAACACCCGAAGUCGGUGAGGUAACCUUUGGAGCCAGCC